rnacentral:SRP_RNA from 1 species
ACCAGGCGUGGUGGUGUGUGCCUGUAGUCCCAGGUAUUCGGGAGGCUGAGGCUGGAGGAUCUCUUGAGUCCAGGAGUUCUGGGCUGUAGUGCGCUAUGCCCAUCAGGUGUCCGCACUAAGUUCGGCAUCAACAUGGUGAACUCCCUGGAGCUGGGGACCACCAGGUUGCCUAAGGAGGGGUAAACUGGCCCACGUCAGAAACGGAGCAAGUCAAAAUUCCCGUGCUGAUCAGUAGUGGGAUACUGCCUGUGAAUAUUCACUGCACUCCAGCCUGGGCAACAUAGUGAGACCCCGUCUCU